GGAAGCCUGAUGCAGCGACGCCGCGUGAGGGAUGAAGGCCUUCGGGUUGUAAACCGCUUUCGGCGGGGAAGAAGCGAGAGUGUCUAAUCCUGCAGAAGAAGGACCGUCUAACUACAUGACGCCCCGCGUAACUACAUGUAAGCAGCCGGGGUUGUCCGGAAGUAUUGGGCGUAAAUAGCUCUUACGGGGCUUGACGCGUGGGUUGGGAAAGCCCGGGGAUUAACGCCGAAUCUGCGGUCUAAACCGGGAAACUACAUUUGGGAAGGGGAGAUCGGAAUUCCUGGUAUAGCGAUGAAAUGCCCAGAUAUCAGGAGGAACGCCGAUGGCGAAGGCGGAUCUCUGAUGCGAUACUGACGCCCCUGAGCGAAAGCUGACGCUCAUGCAAGGAUUAGAUACCCUGGUAGUCCACGCCGACCCUGGGGUCCUAGGUGUGGCGAUGUUCCUGUUGCCGUGCCGCAGUAACGCAUUAAGUGCCCCGCCUGGGGAGUACGACCGCCUGGGGAAAACUCACAGGAAUUGAAAACUCCCCGCAAAUGCGGGGGACCCUGUGAAUUAAUUCAAGACGUGGCUUAAAUCCUUACCACGGCUUGACAUAUACCGAACUGUAUUAUGGAUAGUGCCGCCCUUGAGUUCGGUGGACAGCUGAUGAAAGCCUGACAUCAGCUCGUGUCGGGAGAUGUUGAGUUAAGUCCCGGAACGAGCGCAACACUUGCCCCGUGUUGCGAGCACGUUCUUGUUGUGCUGGACGAUCAGGCAAGACAGUCGGACUCAACUCGAAAAAAGGUACGAACGACGUCAAGUCAUCAUGCCCCUUAGGCCUUGAUCUGCGCAGUGCUACAAUGACCGGUUGAAUGGGCUGCGAUAUCGCGAGCCGAGUGAACUCUAAACCCAGACUCAGAUUCGAUUGCGGAUUGCAUUCGACCCUUGAAUGCGGAUCCGAAUCAUCACAAUCGAUUGCUGAUGUGAAUGCGUUCGGUCCUUGUCUAGCGUCGGCCACCGUCCCAAAUGGAACGGCCUGAGCCGAAGCACAACGCUAUGCUGAAAGUGAGCUGUCUACA
rnacentral:rRNA from 1 species